AGCCACUUAGCUUAAUGGUUCAGAGCACUCAGCUGGUAUCUGAGAGGUACAAGGUUUGAUUCUCUGUAGUCACCU
rnacentral:tRNA from 1 species